rnacentral:rRNA from 1 species
GCCUAUACAUGCGAGUCGAGCGGACAGAAGGGAGCUUGCUCCCGGAUGUUAGCGGCGGACGGGUGAGUAACACGUGGGUAACCUGCCUGUAAGACUGGGAUAACUCCGGGAAACCGGAGCUAAUACCGGAUAGUUCCUUGAACCGCAUGGUUCAAGGAUGAAAGACGGUUUCGGCUGUCACUUACAGAUGGACCCGCGGCGCAUUAGCUAGUUGGUGAGGUAACGGCUCACCAAGGCGACGAUGCGUAGCCGACCUGAGAGGGUGAUCGGCCACACUGGGACUGAGACACGGCCCAGACUCCUACGGGAGGCAGCAGUAGGGAAUCUUCCGCAAUGGACGAAAGUCUGACGGAGCAACGCCGCGUGAGUGAUGAAGGUUUUCGGAUCGUAAAGCUCUGUUGUUAGGGAAGAACAAGUGCAAGAGUAACUGCUUGCACCUUGACGGUACCUAACCAGAAAGCCACGGCUAACUACGUGCCAGCAGCCGCGGUAAUACGUAGGUGGCAAGCGUUGUCCGGAAUUAUUGCGCGUAAAGGGCUCGCAGGCGGUUUCUUAAGUCUGAUGUGAAAGCCCCCCGGCUCACCCGGGGAGGGUCAUUGGAAACUGGGAAACUUGAGUGCAGAAGAGGAGAGUGGAAUUCCACGUGUAGCGGUGAAAUGCGUAGAGAUGUGGAGGAACACCAGUGGCGAAGGCGACUCUCUGGUCUGUAACUGACGCUGAGGAGCGAAAGCGUGGAGAGCGAACAGGAUUAGAUACCCUGGUAGUCCAACGCUGUACAACGAUGAGUGCUAAGUGUUAGGGGGUCUCCCGCCCCCUUUAGCAGCUGCAGCUUAACGCAUUAAGCACUCCCGCCCUGAGAAGUACGCUCGCAAUACUGACAACUCAAAAGUGAAUUAGACGGGCGGCCCAGCAACAAUCAGGUCGCAAGCUAUG